ACACUAUCAAUCUCUCAGUUCACAUAGACUGCGGUAUACAAACCACCAUCAGGGGAAGCAACAAUCUCCUGUACAAGUAUCCAAACUCCCGAACAGAAAUCCACGAAACACCAUUAGCCGCCGAACAAAUAUAUCCACCAAGCGGCUUUCGGCUCCAUCAAUCAGUCUCUAGUCGUCGGUAAUAAAUCCCCCCAAUAACGAGACUACGCUCCGCAUUGAGGGUCAAACAGGAUCUGGCUUUACUGUGGGCUACCCGCCCGUAUUUAUGCAGGUCUCCCACUUGGUGGACACUCCCCUAGGGGACCAAAUGGGAGACUGUAAUGACAGAUGGACAUGGGGACAUUUCAGACAUACAAAUACAACCUUUUCCCACAAUGCAAUAUGGUUUCCUCCCCUCUGCCCUGGAGAUAAUUGAGAAGUAAUUCAAUUAUCUCCAGGACAAAGACAAAUCGCCAUCUUAAAUAGAAUGCCAGAAAAC